CAGCCGUAAACAAUGUGCGUUAGGUGUGUCGGUAACCACGUGUUACUGAUGCGCCGAAGAGAAAUCGUGAAACGCACCACCUGGGAAGUACGGUCGCAAGGCUGAAACUUAAAGGAAUUGGCGGGGGAGCACCACAACAGGUGGAGCCUGCGGUUUAAUUGGAUUCAACACCGUAAACUCACCAGGGAAGACUGUUACAUGAAAGCCGAGAUGAAGACUCUGCUAGAUUUUCAGAGAGGAGGUGCAUGGCGUCAGUGACU
rnacentral:rRNA from 1 species